CGCCAUCCACGGCGAUGCUGAGAAUCCCCGGCGCCUGGACAUCGAAAUGGAAGUUAAGUGGCGGCGGCUCGAUCUCCUCCUCGCUCUCCAGCAUUCGCACCACUGCAUCCAUCGUAGGUCUAGUUGCUGGAUCUUCUUGCACACACCAAAACGCUGCGUGGAUCAAAUUCUUCGCCUUUGCCGCGUCGGCCGACGCUCGGAUGCUCGGAUCCACCACUUCCAUCGCAUUCCCUCUCUGGACUUCCCUCAUGGCCCAGGCCGGGAAGUACGUGUCGACCUUGGAGCAAUCCAGGUUUCUCCUCCCGCCGAUGAGCUCCAAGAGCACCAUUCCAUAGCUGUAGACGUCGCAUUUCUUGGUCGCUGUGGAGUGCAUGAGCCACUCCGGAGCUAGAUAUCCUGGAGUUCCUCUCACUCCGGUGAGAACUCCAUUCUCAUCUUUGUCCAUGAGUAGCUUCGCCAUGCCAAAGUCCGCCACUUUGGCCUCAAACUUGUCACCCAGGAGGAUGUUUUGUGGCUUGAUAUCCAAGUGGAUGAUCGAGUCUCUGGAUUCCUCGUGCAAGUAGGCCAGCCCUCGAGCAGUGUCGAGAGCAAUGCUGUGUCGAAGUUUCCAGUCCAGUUUGUUCUUGCUGUCCGAGAAGAUCCAUCUGUCCAAGGAGCCAUUGGGCAUGAACUCGUAGACGAGCAGUCUGUGUGAAGCUUCGGCACAAAAGCCGUGAAGUUUGACGAUGUUGAUGUGGCUUAUGCCUCCCAGGGCCUGGACUUCUGCGAUGAAUUGUUUCUGUGCGUGUUGGGCGCUGAGUUUCUUCACAGCUAGCUUCAUCUUGUUGUGAAGAACUCCCUCGUACACGGUGCUGUAGCCUCCUUGUCCCAGCACGGUUGUGAAUCCUUUGGUGGCGGAGUAAAGGCCUCGGUAUGAGAAUUGGAAAGGUGACGCCUCCACACGGGUGAGAAAGCUGCUUACCUCUCUGAGUAAGACGUUUCUUCGAUGCAGGGCAGCGAACAUCACUGCGAGGAUUGUAAUAGCAAUUGCAGCACUUCCAGAGGUAACUCCGAUAACUAUAUGCUUCGCAGUUUCUGAUCUUGGAUGGUCCACAGACACCAACCUGGAGUAGUUCUGGUACUUCAGAAAGCCCACCAGCUGGUUCGCCUUGGAUGGAUCAAGUGUCAAGCUUCCCAGAACGUCUUCCACGUAGAAACAGUUUUGGAGUGCUCU
rnacentral:lncRNA from 1 species